rnacentral:rRNA from 1 species
AGUGAACGCUGGCGGUAGGCCUAACACAUGCAAGUCGAACGGCAGCACAGUAAGAGCUUGCUCUUACGGGUGGCGAGUGGCGGACGGGUGAGGCAUACAUCGGCAUCUACUUUUUCGUGGGGGAUAACGUAGGGAAACUUACGCUAAUACCGCAUACGACAUACGGGUGAAAGCAGGGGAUAUUCGGACUUUGCGCGAUUGAUUGAGCCGAUGUCGGAUUAGCUAGUGGGAAAGGUAAAGGCCCAACAAGGCGACGAUGCGUAGCUGGUCUGAGAGGAUGACAGGCCACACGGGAAAUGAGACACGGUCAAGACUAAUCCGGGAGGCAGCAGUAGGGAAUCUUCAGCAAUGGGAGAAGGACUGACGGAGCAAUGAAGCGUGAGUGAUGAAGGUCUGAGGAUCGUAAAACUAUGUUAUUAGGGAAGAAAAAAUGUGUAAGUAACUAUGCACGUCUUGACGGUACCUAAUCAGAAAGCCACGGCUAACUACGUG